rnacentral:rRNA from 1 species
GAGACAGCAGUCGCCACGGUAAUACAGAGGGUGCGAGCGUUAAUCGGAUUUACUGGGCGUAAAGCGUGCGUAGGCGGCUUCUUAAGUCGGAUGUGAAAUCCCUGAGCUUAACUUAGGAAUUGCAUUCGAUACUGGGAAGCUAGAGUAUGGGAGAGGAUGGUAGAAUUCCAGGUGUAGCGGUGAAAUGCGUAGAGAUCUGGAGGAAUACCGAUGGCGAAGGCAGCCAUCUGGCCUAAUACUGACGCUGAGGUACGAAAGCAUGGGGAGCAAACAGGAUUAGAUACCCCAGUAGUCCCUGUCUCUUAUAA